rnacentral:rRNA from 1 species
UACGUAGGUGGCAAGCGUUGUCCGGAUUUAUUGGGCGUAAAGGGUGCGUAGGUGGUUUGUCGCGUCGUCUGUGAAAUUCCGGGGCUUAACUCCGGGCGUGCAGGCGAUACGGGCAUAACUUGAGUACUGUAGGGGAGACUGGAAUUCCUGGUGUAGCGGUGAAAUGCGCAGAUAUCAGGAGGAACACCGAUGGCGAAGGCAGGUCUCUGGGCAGUAACUGACGCUGAGGAGCGAAAGCAUGGGUAGCGAACAGG